rnacentral:lncRNA from 1 species
GGGAUGAGGGGACUCGGCUGUGUCCUCGGCCGCGGUGGUGGCAUCAGCAUCGCCCUCAGAAGUGAGGGGACCUGGCCACGUCCUCGGUGGCCGUGGUGGUGGCCGUGGCCUCGCUCUUGAAGGUGAGGGGUGCUGGCCAUGUCGUGAUGACGUCCGUCGCGUCCCCCUCGAAGGCGAAGGGACCUGGCCGUGUCCUCGGUGGCUACGGCGUCACCUGCGAAGAUGAGGGGCUGCGGCCACGUCCUCGGGGUCCACGACGCCACCCUUGAAAGCGAGGGACUGAACCGUGUCCUCGACGUCCAUGGCGGUGACCACGAGGCGCCAUGUCCAUGUCCUCGCUCUCCGUGGUGUCACCCGCGCAGACGAGACGCUGUGUCCAUGUCCUUGCUCUCCAUGGUGUCACCCUCGAAGACGAGGCGCCAUGGCCAUGUCCGUGGUGUCACCCGCGCAGACGAGACGCUGUGUCCAUGUCCUUGCUCUCCAUGGUGUCACCCUCGAAGACGAGGCGCCAUGGCCAUGUCCUCGCUGUCUGUGCUGUCACCCGCGCAGACGAGACACUGUGUCCAUGUCCUCACUGUCCGUGGUGUCACCCACGAAGCUGCCAUGUCCACAUCCGUGCCCUCGCUGUCCAUGGUGUCACCCUCGAAGACGAGGCACCGUGGCCAUGUCCUCGGUGUCCGUGCUGUCACCUGCGAAGAUGAGGGCACCUGGCUGUGCCCUUGGUGUCCAUGGUGUCACUCGGGAAGGUGAGAGGCCCCAGCCAUGUCCUCGGUGCCCACGGUGUCACCCUCGAAGACGAGGCGCCGUGGCUGUGCCCUCGGUGUCCAUGUUGUCACCUAUGAGGAUGAGGGCACCUGGCCGUGCCCUCAGUGUCCACGUUGUCACCUGUGAAGAUGAGGGCACUUGACUGUGCCCUCGGUGUCCGUGUUGUCACCUGUGAAGACGAGGGCACCUGGCUGUGUCCUCGGGGUCCGUGGUGUCACCUGCGAAGACGAGGGCACCUGGCCGCGCCCUUGGCGUCCACAACGUCACCCUCGAACAUGAGGGCACCCGGCCACGUCCUCGGUUUCCCCCUCGUAGACGAGGCGCCGCGGCGUCCCCCGCGAAGGCCGCGCGCGUCCCGGCGCGUCAUACCUCGGACUCGAGGCUGGAGAAGUGGGCGGAGCCGCGGCGGGCGCCCAGCUCG